rnacentral:rRNA from 1 species
GACGAAUGCUGGCGGCGUGCUUAACACAUGCAAGUCGAACGGAAAGGCCCUGCUUGCAGGGUACUCGAGUGGCGAACGGGUGAGUAACACGUGGGUGAUCUGCCCUGCACUUCGGGAUAAGCCUGGGAAACUGGGUCUAAUACCGGAUAGGAGCCAUUUUUAGUGUGAUGGUUGGAAAGUUUUUUCGGUGUAGGAUGAGCUCGCGGCCUAUCAGCUUGUUGGUGGGGUAAUGGCCUACCAAGGCGGCGACGGGUAGCCGGCCUGAGAGGGUGGACGGCCACAUUGGGACUGAGAUACGGCCCAGACUCCUACGGGAGGCAGCAGUGGGGAAUAUUGCACAAUGGGCGCAAGCCUGAUGCAGCGACGCCGCGUGGGGGAUGACGGCCUUCGGGUUGUAAACUCCUUUCGCUAGGGACGAAGCUUUUUGUGACGGUACCUAGAGAAGAAGCACCGGCUAACUACGUG